AGAAAAAAGCAGAAGCACCCGCUUCUCGCCUAGGGGAUCAGGAUCCUCGGGCAGAAUUACGAAAUAACCUCACUGUAACGUGAGGAGUAGUGGGUGUUGAAAAACACUCACUUUUUUUCUGCUUA
rfam:Lactobacillus acidipiscis strain DSM 15353 Scaffold19, whole genome shotgun sequence.